GCCCCUGUGGUGGAAUUGGUAGACGCGGUAGACUCAAAAUCUAUUGUCCGCAAGGACGUGGGAGUUCGACUCUCCCUGGGGGCACCA
rnacentral:tRNA from 1 species